rnacentral:ncRNA from 1 species
AUACAGAGUAGAAAAUAAAGCGUUAAGUGCUAAGAGGAUGGGAUGUUGCCUCUUGGACGAAGGACGUAAUGUUCGCGGUUUUAUUUUCGCAUUCGCUGCAU